GCCAGAGCAGGCCGUUGCUCUUUUCAAAGCCUGCAACCAGGACGCCAUGGCCCAAGCAAAUAUGGGUUAAGAAUCUCUCUACGUUUGAAUUUCAAGCGAUCGAACGGCGGCACUCUUCGCAGUGGCGCGGUUGGCCGAUGCCCAUAAACCCUAAAACCUCUUACGGCUUCGGGUUUUACCACCCAUUAAUUUAACAUGAGCAUCCAUUGCUUUAAAGAAGAUGAAGCUUUCCGUUGAGAGUUCUUCCCCUUUGCUUCACUCCUUUCAGCGAUGCUACUCUUCUUUCGCGGUUUUUUUCAAGUUAGUCGCAGAGCCUCUUACCGAGUAAUCUCUCUGUCUUCAAAUUCCUCGCAUCAGGGUUGCCUUUCUUUCAAUGCAUUUAAUGCCUCGUCGUCCCUAACAUCAAUAAAUGGCUGUUACAUUUCUUGUCUUUGGUUCACUAGCUUUCUUUGUAUGUUUCGGCUCCCUUUUGUUAGUUACUCGAAUACAAAUAGUUCAUUUGAAUCAUUAGACAUUGGUUCCCUUCGUAAAAUCAUACAACAAGACCUCUGGAACGAUCCUAAGAUUGUUAUUUUAUUUGAUUCAGCACUCGCGCCCAUUUGGGUCUCUAAGAUUUUAGUUGAAUUGAAAGAAGAUCCAAAGUUAGCUUUUAAGUUCUUCAAAUGGGCAGGAAGCCAGAUUGGUUUCUGCCAUACCACCGAGUCUUACUGCAUUAUAGCUCACAUGCUGUUUUGUGCGAGAAUGUAUACGAAUGCCCAUGAUAUUAUUAAAGAAGUGAUUUUGAAGUGUCGUAUCGACAUGAUUUUUCCACUUUGUAAUAUAUUUGAUAUGUUAUGGUCGACUAGGAAUGUUUGUGUGUCAGGAACAGGAGUCUUUGACAUUUUAUUUAGUGUUCUGGUAGAGUUGGGUCUGCUUGAGGAAGCUAAUGAAUGUUUCUCGAGAAUGAGGAAGUUUAGGACUCUUCCCAAAGCACGUUCAUGCAAUUUUCUUUUGCAUAGAUUAUCAAAGUCGGGGAAUGGACAGUUGGUGAGGAAGUUUUUCAAUGACAUGAUUGGGGCUGGGAUUGCACCUUCAGUUUUUACUUACAAUGUAAUGAUAGAUUACUUGUGCAAAGAAGGGGAUUUGGAAAAUGCUAGACGUUUGUUUGUGCAAAUGAGGCAAAUGGGCUUUUCUCCAGAUGUUGUCACCUAUAAUUCCUUGAUUGAUGGCUAUGGCAAGGUUGGGUUACUAGAAGAAUCCGUGUAUUUAUUUAAAGAAAUGAAGGAUAUCGGUUGUGUUCCUGACGUAAUUACUUAUAAUGCGUUGAUCAAUUGUUUUUGUAAGUUUGAGAAGAUGCCUCGAGCUUUUGAGUAUCUCUCUGAGAUGAAGAACAGUGGGUUAAAACCAAAUGUUGUAACAUAUAGCACAUUGAUUGAUGCUUUUUGCAAGGAGGGAAUGAUGCAAUAUGCCAUCAAACUUUUUGUUGAUAUGAGAAGAGUUGGCCUGCUACCCAAUGAAUUCACCUACACUUCUCUGAUUGAUGCCAAUUGUAAGGCAGGUAACUUAACAGAAGCAUGGAAGUUGUCCAACGAUAUGUUGCAGGCAGGAUUUAAUUUAAAUGUAGUAACCUAUACAGCUCUAAUGGUUGGGCUUUGUGAAGAUGGAAGAAUGAUGGAAGCGGCAGAAGUGUUUAGGGCAAUGCUGAAAGAUGGACUAUCGCCCAACCAGCAGGUUUGCACUGCUUUGGUUCAUGGCUAUAUUAAGGCAGAGAGAAUGGAGGAUGCAAUGGAAAUAUUGAAGCAAAUGACAGAAUGUAACAUCAAACCAGAUUUAAUACUCUAUGGCACCAUUAUUUGGGGUCUCUGUAGUCAAAACAAACUUGAAGAAACUGAACUUAUUAUUAAAGAAAUGAAAAGUCAGGGUAUUAGUGCAAAUCCUGUUAUAUACACAACAAUUAUGGAUGCUUAUUUUAAGGCUGGAAAAAGCUCAGAUGCAAUAAAUCUUCUUCAUAAGAUGCAGGAUAUGGGUGUUGAGGCUACUGUUGUAACCUACUGUGUACUAAUUGAUGGUCUGUGCAAAACAGGUAUGGUCGAACUGGCAGUUGAUUAUUUUGGUAGAAUGUCUGAUCUUGGUUUACAACCUAAUGUUGCAGUUUAUACGGCCCUUAUUGAUGGUCUUUGUAAAACUAAUUGCAUUGAAUCUGCCAAAAAGUUGUUUGAUGAAAUGCAAUAUAGGGGUAUGACCCCAGAUAAAACAGCUUUUACUGCUCUUAUUGAUGGCAACUUGAAGCUUGGAAAUCUUCAGGAAGCUUUGGAUUUGAUUAGCAGAAUGACAGACUUAGCUAUUGAGUUUGAUUUACAUGCUUAUACUUCCAUGGUUUCGGGAUUUUCUCAAUGUGGUGACCUGCAUCAAGCAAGGAAGUUUUUUAAUGAAAUGAUUGAGAAAGGCAUACUUCCCGAGGAGAUUUUAUGUACAUGUCUACUGAGAGAGUAUUACAAGCUUGGACAGUUGGACGAAGCCAUUGAAUUGAAGAAUGAAAUGAGAAGGAGGGGUUUAAUUACUGAAAACUGUAGCCUUGAAGUUCCCAGUCUUAGAACUUGAUGAGGUCCAAUCUGAUCAUCUUUGGUGUCUGUAUUUUAAUUACAAGCACAUGUGGUCUUUAUUUGGGAUUUAGAGAGUAUGACAACCCAAGAAACCCACCGUUCAAAUGGCCGCCAUGUCUGAUGGGAAGAACUUGCAGGCCAUGCGUGAUGUAUCUGAUGUUGGUUUUAAAAGCUCUGAUCCAAAAUAUUCUAUUUGAUAAGAUGCAGCUUUCUAGUUUCUAAAUGAUAUCUGCAUAAAAUCCCAUCAUAUCAUGCGUUUCAUUAAUCAUCAGUCUUCUAUAAAUGGGAGUGUUAGUCUUUCUCAUUCUCUUUCUCUUUCCCAAAAAGAAGAAUUUUGUUUAGACAUGAGAUACAGGUCCAAAGAGGAGUCCUGUGCUACCAUAUAUUGAUUCCCGUGGAACCAUUCUAGCGAAAAUAUCUAUCUUUUGUUUUACCGAUUGAAGCG